GACGAACGCUGGCGGCGUGCUUAACACAUGCAAGUCGAACGGAAAGGCCCUGCUUUUGUGGGGUGCUCGAGUGGCGAACGGGUGAGUAACACGUGAGUAACCUGCCCUUGACUUUGGGAUAACUUCAGGAAACUGGGGCUAAUACCGGAUAGGAGCUCCUGCUGCAUGGUGGGGGUUGGAAAGUUUCGGCGGUUGGGGAUGGACUCGCGGCUUAUCAGCUUGUUGGUGGGGUAGUGGCUUACCAAGGCUUUGACGGGUAGCCGGCCUGAGAGGGUGACCGGCCACAUUGGGACUGAGAUACGGCCCAGACUCCUACGGGAGGCAGCAGUGGGGAAUAUUGCACAAUGGGCGGAAGCCUGAUGCAGCAACGCCGCGUGCGGGAUGACGGCCUUCGGGUUGUAAACCGCUUUCGCCUGUGACGAAGCGUGAGUGACGGAAAUGGGUAAAGAAGCACCGGCUAACUACGU
rnacentral:rRNA from 1 species